UUAAAAAGGAGGGCUCGUCCGGGAUUUGAACCCGGGACCUCUCGCACCCUAAGCGAGAAUCAUACCCCUAGACCAACGAGCCGAUGUAGUCACCCGCUGCCUGCUAUACUAAAGGAAGGGAAAGAUACUUUUUCAGGCGCCCCCAAGUGGUUAUUUACAUAUUGUGUCUCCAGCGUUCGUAUGGUUUUGUGUUCUAGAGUUUUCUAUUUUCCUUUUUAACUUUUUAUCUUUGAGAAUCCGACACAGAAGAAAACAAACGGUCUCAUUACCAGCGUAAUAUUUACCUCUUAUUUCGAAAACCGCUCCAUCGGAGUAUCUCACUUGCCUCUCACAACGAUGCAGGAAGACCGACAGUAACAAAACUUCAGAACAUCGAUUGCCUAACCCACAGUGAUAAAUGUCUGUAUCCUGGUGAAGGAACACCUGUGACCUGUGACCCUCCGCAAGGGACAUUCUUCCCUUGUAGGUUUCUGUGAAGCAGAAGUGGGGUCCAGGGAGGCAGAGGAUCUUAAGGAGCAUUUUCUCCCCGUCACAGUGAAUGAAGAAGCCUGGUGACAUGUACUUCUACAGUCAACCUCUCUCUAAGGACCCCCAUUAUUCUUGUUACCCCAAUUUGGUGCCCGGAAAUAUCAUAGACACUAGAACUCUAAUUUUCAGUAUUUUCUAGCAAAAAAUGCAACCCUUCUGAAUUAAGCCGUCCUGGCAAUAGAAAUGUCAAUGAAAUUGAUUCAGCUUCAGGCAAAUCUUUUUCAUGGUGGCCUGGGAUUCAUCUUUGAUUCUGAUAUCUAUUUGUGAAUAAUCCGAUUCUCAGUGUUCCAGAAACCUCUUGCUAUCGCGACCCACAGAUCACAGUGUUCCAAUGCCUCUAGCAACAUAUCUUAAAAGACAAGGAGGGAAAGAACACCAGUGACAAUACGGGAGGUGGGGGAAGAUUCUGCCACAAUCACAAAUAGCUGUGUGAAAUUUUGGUGUCUGUCACCCUCUUCCUAAUUUCUCCCAUUAAUUCCAGCCCUAGAAAAUUCUGUCUGUAUAUAUUUGCCAGCACUAGAUGCUUCUGAGUGCCCCUUAUCUUUUUUUUUUUAAGUUUAUUUAUUGAGAGGGGGAGAGAGAGAGCAGGGCAGGGACAGAGAGAGAGGGAGAGAGAGAGAAUCCCAAGCAGGCUCCACACCAGCAGCACUGACCCCGACGCAGGGCUCUAACUCAUGAACGUGAGAUCAUGACCUGCACCAAAACCAAGAAUCAGACAUUUAACCGGCUGAGCCACCCAGGCGCCCCGCAACUGCAUUUUUUGUGCACUGCAUGGAAAAGGAAGUCUGUGAGCCGAUGGGCCUGUGUAGAUAACUGUUAUCAGAAGGCCUCUGUGCAUGACUUUUUCUUAUUAUUGAUUUUGUGGGGAAAGUUCUCCCCCAAGGAGCCCCUUCUUUUCAGAGGCAGUCAUCCAUUAAAAGGAUCUUUCUGACUUGGUUGGAAGUCCUCAGUGGAUUCUGAUCGUAUUGCCUGGACUGCUUGAGCUGGUGAAGGGAAGUUUCUAGGAGGAGGAAAGCGGUAUAGGAAGACAAGGAGGUUUGUUGAGUGAGGAUCACGGGCUAACCAAUAAUGAUUGGAAUCCAAAGGUUUUGGGUUUGUUUUCCCAUUUACUUUCUACAGCAGGAUCAGAAACCACAGUGUAAGGGCUGUGGCUCAAACAACCUCGCAUGAUUGUUUUUUUCUUUGUAACUUCACUAGAUCAAUUUAAUAAACAUUCACCCAUCUCUUCA